rnacentral:rRNA from 1 species
AUGCACGCUGGCGGCGUGCCUAAUCCAUGCAAGUCGAGCGAACGGACGAGAAGCUUGCUUUUCUGAUGUUAGCGGCGGACGGGUGAGUAACACGUGGAUAACCUACCUAUAAGACUGGGAUAACUUCGGGAAACCGGAGCUAAUACCGGAUAAUAUUUUGAACCGCAUGGUUCAAAAGUGAAAGACGGUCUUGCUGUCACUUAUAGAUGGAUCCGCGCUGCAUUAGCUAGUUGGUAAGGUAACGGCUUACCAAGGCAACGAUGCAUAGCUGACCUGAGAGGGUGAUCGGCCACACUGGAACUGAGACACGGUCCAGACUCCUACGGGAGGCAGCAGUAGGGAAUCUUCCGCAAUGGGCGAAAGCCUGACGGAGCAACGCCGCGUGAGUGAUGAAGGUCUUCGGAUCGUAAAACUCUGUUAUUAGGGAAGAACAUAUGUGUAAGUAACUGUGCACAUCUUGACGGUACCUAAUCAGAAAGCCACGGCUAACUACGUG